rnacentral:tRNA from 1 species
GCGGGUGUAGUUCAGUGGUAGAAUGUCUCGUUGCCAACGAGAAGGUCGUGGGUUCAAGUCCCAUCACCCGCU